rnacentral:rRNA from 1 species
UGCGAAAGCAUGAGGCUCCCGCAAGGGACAUCGCCACAGGUGUUGCAUGGCUGUCGUCAGCUCGUGUCGUGAGAUGUUCGGUUAAGUCCGCUAACGAGCGCAACCCUCGCCGUGUGUUACAAGUGUCACACGGGACCGCCGGUAUCAAGCCGGAGGAAGGUGGGGAUGACGUCAAGUCAGCAUGGCCUUUAUGUCCGGGGCUACACACACGCUACAAUGGCCGAUACAAUGGGUUGCUAAACCGCGAGGUGGAGCCAAUCCCCCAAAGUCGGCCUCAGUUCAGAUUGCAGGCUGCAACUCGCCUGCAUGAAGCUGGAGUUGCUAGUAAACGCGCGUCAGCUAUAGUGCGUUGAAUACGUUCUCGGGCCUUGUACACACCGCCCGUCACGUCAUGGGAGCUGGUAACACCUGAAGCCGGUAGCCUAACCGCAAGGAGGGCGCCGUCGAAGGUGGGACUGGUGACUGGGACGAAGUCGUAACAAGGUAGGAGUACCGGAAGG